rnacentral:tRNA from 1 species
GGGUUGUGACUCAGUGGUAGAGCACUCGCCUAGCACGUGCAAGACCCUGGGUUCAAUUCUCAGUACCCA